rnacentral:tRNA from 1 species
UCCCUGGUGGCUCAGAUGGUAAAGCGUCUGCCUGCAAUGCAGGAGACACAGGUUCGAUCCCUGGGUUGGGAA